rnacentral:rRNA from 1 species
CCUACGGGAGGCAGCAGUGGGGGAUAUUGCACAAUGGGGGAAACCCUGAUGCAGCAACGCCGCGUGAGUGAAGAAGUAUUUCGGUAUGUAAAGCUCUAUCAGCAGGGAAGAAGAAAGACGGUACCUGACUAAGAAGCCCCGGUUAACUACGUGCCAGCAGCCGCGGUAAUACGUAGGGGGCAAGCGUUAUCCGGAUGUACUGGGUGUAAAGGGAGCGUAGACGGCUGUGCAAGUCUGAAGUGAAAGCCCGUGGCUCAACCGCGGAAUUGCUGUGGAAACUGUAUAGCUUGAGUACUGAAGAGGAAGGCGGAAUUCAUGGUGUAGCGGUGAAAUGCGUAGAUAUUAGGAGGAACACCGGUGGCGAAGGCGACCGGCUGGACAGAAACUGACGUUGAGGCUCGAAAGCGUGGGGAGCAAACAGGAUUAGAUACCCCAGUAGUC